UUUCAGUACCCUCUGUAAUUCAUGAACACACAAAUAUAUCCCAAAUCCUAGAACAAAAAACUUUCAAUCUACAGAAUCUGAUCUAGACAAUUCCUUUGAUUACAAUUCCUCUCUAUUGAACUUACAACCUUGCGAUAAACAGUGACUAGAAACUUCCAUACGUCUUCAAUCUUUCACAGCAAUUGAUAAAUAGUGAUCCAUAAAUAACUUCGUAAAUCAAACAUUAAUUCAUUAAAUUGAUUCUCUUCACUAGAAUCAAUACUAACACAAAAGAAACAAGAAAACUAAGAAGAAGAGAUAGCACCAAACUUAUCUUCAGCUUAGUACUAUCGCAGUUUGGCAUUUUCUUCCCCUCUCCCAUCCUCCUUAUACUACCCCGAGAUACCAACUCCUAUACUAUAGAUGAUAACUACUUUUCCUGACUAUUCAUCCAUUCUACCUGCUGAACCACCUUUUCAGCAAUUAUCUAUCCCUGUUUACACUAUAUACUAGGUAUCUACAUUUUGAAAAUAACUACUUAUUCUACAUAGCCCCAC
rnacentral:lncRNA from 1 species